rnacentral:misc_RNA from 1 species
GAAAUGCGAUACGUAAUGCGAAUUGCAGAAUUCAGUGAAUCAUCAAAUCUUUGAACGCAAAUUGCGCUUUCUGGAUAGGCCAGGAAGCAUGCCUCUUUGAGCAUCGUUUUCACCUCAGCUCGAUUGCUUUCUUGUAAUGAGAAAAGUCUAAUCGGAUAAUGAGUUGUCUUAUUUGAAAUAAAUAAGUCACUUUAAAUGCGGUGAGCUCCAGAACUCCUAGUGUCAUUUUCUCUCUUUAUUGAGUGAAAAACUUGUCAAUUGACUUGUCGCUAGUGUCGUGGAUAAAUUUUAUCAACGAUAUAUUGGCUUGAUAAUGUUGAUUGAUAAGGUUAAACAUUGGGUAACUUGUGAACUCAGUGGAAAUUAACUAAUCUUUGAAUUAGAUCUCAAAUGAAGCAAG